AAAACCACACUUUAUGCGUUUCACCUUGGGGUUUCAUCAGAAGUGAAACCCCAAGGUGAAAUGCAUAAAAUGCGGUUUUAUAGCCUAUU